UCACCAUGUGAGUUUCAGGCUACGCCCCUGCCAAUCUCCAGCACGUCAAGCGCGGGUACGAAGUAUUCCCGAUCAGAGAGUUUACUAACCUACUGGGCUUUACUGGUCCCAUACCCAGUAAGUGAUCAGAUGAUUAUCACUUGAUCAAAGGUUAAGACAACGAAUCGAGCCUUAACCAAUUUAAUCUAGCAGACAGAACUACAUCCCUAGCUUCUGCCCGCUUCUCAAUUUCCAUGCCAUCUUUCCAUAAAUAACAUGUAUGACUCAAAAGUUUUCCCUAAGGUUGGUAAACCAAGUAUUUAAGCAACAAAGCAAUUCUAGACUUGGGUUAUCUACUAAAGGUUUGAACAAGUGGCAAAGAUGUCCUUAAAACAAGGGAUGAUAAUGCACAAGAAUGGGUUUCAAGCAACUCCUAGACUUAGUGCAUACAUAUAGCAAAUAGCUGAAUAUAGGACACAUGAAAUAUUGACUUCAAAAUAAUAGGUGUAAUGCACCGGGGCUUGCCUUGUUCGCUUAAAAAGUUAGCACUGUCCGAAGGGUUGGCCUCGCAGGGGACCAGUUCAAAGAUUUCCUCAAACUCCGAAGAUCCUUUUGAAAAUUCCAAGUAAUCUCCUUCUGGCGCUUCGGGGUCUAUAGCAUAACAUAUGC
rnacentral:lncRNA from 1 species